UCUGAAAAUAAAUUUCAUUUAUCAAUUUUUGUUUUGUGGAGAUUUUUCUAUACGAUGCGUUCAGCUAAUUUCAUAAUAAAUUAUACUUAUAACGCGCUAUAUAUUUAUUCUCAGCGACGAUACGAGAUUUUUUAAUUCCUCAAUUUAAUCUUUUGUGAUAGUAGUAAGGUCACUGAAAAUUUAUCAUACUACUGUGCAAUAACGCCGUGAUAUAAUAACACACGCGCACACACACACACGCACAUAUAUAUUGCUUUCAUUUCGAUAUACAUGAUGUAACUAUAUUUGGUGUGCUUAUAUUUGAUGAAAAGUUCAUCUGCGGAUCGAUUGAAUAAAACUGCAAUCGGAUCUGAUCAUCCCAGUUUUGCGUGAGGUAAACAAACAGUUAAGUGGCGCAGAAACGUGCAGCAACAAUGAUAAUAGGUAUAGACAUACCAGCUUCCAAGCGAUGUGUGCUCGCGAUGUGCCGAACGAGGCUGGAAGAUUUCGGAGCAGCCUUGAAUGCGGCAGCCUCGUGAUUAAAUAGCAUCGACCUGGCGGUGCACCUGGCGAUCUGCGCUACCAGUCGCGCCAUGGCUCUGUGCAGCAAAUUGAGAAUCAGUUAUCGGGAAAAAUAAUCGCUAAUCCUUCGAGGACGACGCGUGCAGGGACCAGCACUGCCGGACUUGCGUUGUGUUAUAACCUCAACGGAGCGGCGCGUCGUCUGCACUCGCGCGUGCACUUGGCUCGAGCCGCGGCUGCGUAAUGAGCGGCUAUUCUCCGAGAAA